ACACCUUCUUCAUCACUUCCUCUGGAGGCACCAUCAUAUUUCAUCUGCCCGAUGACACAGGUCAGUUAGCCACUGUUGAAGCUGACUAUAUGUUAUCGGUUCAAAAAAUCUCUAGUACUCAUCACGGGUAGAAUAGAUGAAAAAUAAAUCUCCACCAAGUCAAUAUUGCUAGCAAAUCAAAGAACCAAAGCAACUGAAUCAUGUAAUGUCUCAUGUGACUCAAACUCAUCAUGGUAAUAACAUACAACUCUUAAAAUUCAGCUACCGCACUAACGCUUUAUUUCCUUUUGAGCAGGUAGUCUGCAUCAUAAUUGCAUCCACCUGAAUUUGUGUUGUACUUUUGGUUCCAACUAAUAUAAUGUUGCAUUAUUGCAUUGUUUCAGGAGAUCAUGCGAGAUCCGCACAUUGCUGCUGAUGGAUUCACAUAUGAAGGGGAGGCUAUAAAAGAUUGGAUCCAAAGGGGGCAUAGAAUGUCCCCCAUGACAUACCUUAAUUUCCCACACCAUCAGUUAAUUCCUAACAACGCCCUUCGUUUCGCAAUUCAAGAAUGGCAAACAAAACAGCAGCAGUAAUUUUGAGUUUUUGACACUACAUUUGGUCUGCACUUUGUAUCAUGUUUGUGAAGUGAGACAAGUAGUUCCCAAGUGUGUACAUGUACAUUCUAGGAAGCAUUUUUUUUUUACUUAACCAGCCAAUAUUUUACCAAAUUUUGGAGCUCGGAAAUUAAGCUUCAUGAACAUGCCAGUGUGAGGGCUCACACAUUUGGGAUGAAUUGAUAUGUAACAUGAUGUAAUAUAUUAGCAAGAAGAUGCAACGUUGCAAUUGUCAAUAGAUGUUUGUGCCCAUUUCUCUCCAUUUUUGCAAAGUUAAAAGAUCGCUCACAACAAAUGGACAAUCGGAUGAAUCGAAAGCUUUUGAUUAAAUGGUAAAUGAAUACCCAUCAGCAUGGUGAUUUCUGAUUUUGAGAAAUUAAAUACGAGCAAUGUGAUUUUAUAGCUAGAAAUGGUGUCGUUAUUUGAUAUGCCGUAUUCGAGCAUUGAAGUUUGAAGAUGGUGGCACGAAAGGGACUUUGGUUUGAUUGUGUGCACUGAAAAACAAGUUGGUUUUCAAGAAUCAGGAACGGGGAUUAUCGAGCGUGAUUUCCCUUCCCAUGACUUGCUGGAUAGAUUAGCUUACACAAAAGUUACAUUGUUCCAUGGAGCAUCGGCAUGUAAUCAAGCUUAUGCAAAAGUUAAGAGAAGCAGUAUGAAGUCUAGCGCAUACCGUCGAACACCUGGCGGGCGGCAGCGUCUUGUCACUCCCCGGAGUGGCCGCCACAUAGGUGGACGCCCCACCGCGUCAGAUGGAGCUGUGCAAGCCGCGGAGCUCCGCCACCUGUUGGAGGAGGGAGGGCGGCGACAUCACAUCCAUUGCUUCCUUCAGCGGGGGAAGAUGUGGCCUGUGGGUUGCUGAUCGAUGUUCGGAAAUUCAUUAGGAUCCAUCUGCCCACAACUGACAGGUGGGACCGGUACCAUCCGAUUCGUCGUGGCGGCCAUGCAUCCCCGAUUCCCCGCCAACCGGUACCAUCCGAUUCGUCGUGGCGCCCAUGGGUCCCAAAUGCCCAAAUCCAAGCUUGUGCCUCC
rnacentral:lncRNA from 1 species